rnacentral:rRNA from 1 species
UACAGAGGUGGCAAGCGUUGUUCGGAAUUACUGGGCGUAAAGGGCGCGUAGGCGGCCAUCUAAGUCAGACGUGAAAUCCCCCGGCUUAACCUGGGAACUGCGUUUGAUACUGGAAGGCUUGAGUAUGGGAGAGGGAUGUAGAAUUCCAGGUGUAGCGGUGAAAUGCGUAGAUAUCUGGAGGAAUACCGGUGGCGAAGGCGGCAUCCUGGACCAUUACUGACGCUGAGGCGCGAAAGCUAGGGGAGCAAACGGG